rnacentral:rRNA from 1 species
GUGCCAGCCGCCGCGGUAAUACGUAGGGGGCAAGCGUUGUCCGGAUUUACUGGGUGUAAAGGGCGCGCAGGCGGAUUGACAAGUCAGAGGUGAAAUCCUGCAGCUUAACUGCAGAACUGCCUUUGAAACUGUCAAUCUUGAGUACGGAAGAGAGAGACGGAAUUCCAGGUGUAGUGGUGAAAUACGUAGAUAUCUGGAAGAACACCAGUUGCGAAGGCGGUCUCUUGGUCCGUUACUGACGCUCAGGCGCGAAAGCGUGGGUAGCAAACAGGAUUAGAAACCCUCGUAGUCC